rnacentral:rRNA from 1 species
AUUGAACGCUGGCGGCAGGCCUAACACAUGCAAGUCGAACGGUAGCACAGAGGAGCUUGCUCCUUGGGUGACGAGUGGCGGACGGGUGAGUAAUGUCUGGGGAACUGCCCGAUGGAGGGGGAUAACUACUGGAAACGGUAGCUAAUACCGCAUAACGUCGCAAGACCAAAGAGGGGGACCUUCGGGCCUCUUGCCAUCGGAUGUGCCCAGAUGGGAUUAGCUAGUAGGUGGGGUAACGGCUCACCUAGGCGACGAUCCCUAGCUGGUCUGAGAGAAUGACCAGCCACACUGGACCUGAGACACGGUCCGGACUCCUACGGGAGGCAGCAGUGGGGAAUAUUGCACAAUGGGCGCAAGCCUGAUGCAGCCAUGCCGCGUGUAUGAAGAAGGCCUUCGGGUUGUAAAGUACUUUCAGCGAGGAGGAAGGCAUUAAGGUUAAUAACCUUAGUGAUUGACGUUACUCGCAGAAGAAGCACCGGCUAACUCCGUGCCAGCCGCCGCAGUAA